rnacentral:misc_RNA from 1 species
GAUGAAGAACGUAGCGAAAUGCGAUAAGUAAUGUGAAUUGCAGAAUUCAGUGAAUCAUCGAAUCUUUGAACGCACAUUGCGCCCGCCCGUAUUCUGGCGGGCAUGCCUGUUCGAGCGUCAUUUCAACCAUCAAGCCCUGCUUGCGUUGGGGUCCUGCGGCUGCCCGCAGGCCCUGAAAACCAGUGGCGGGCUCGCUAGUCACACCGAGCGCAGUAAUACAUCUCGCUUUGGGCGUGCGGCGGGUUCUUGCCGUUAAACACCCCCUUUUUACCAAGGUUGACCUCGGAUCAGGUAGGAAUACCCGCUGAACUUAAGCAUAUCAAUAAGCGGAGGA